rnacentral:rRNA from 1 species
GAUGAACGCUGGCGGCGUGCCUAAUACAUGCAAGUCGAGCGAACGGACGAGAAGCUUGCUUCUCUGAUGUUAGCGGCGGACGGGUGAGUAACACGUGGAUAACCUACCUAUAAGACUGGGAUAACUUCGGGAAACCGGAGCUAAUACCGGAUAAUAUUUUGAACCGCAUGGUUCAAAAGUGAAAGACGGUCUUGCUGUCACUUAUAGAUGGAUCCGCGCUGCAUUAGCUAGUUGGUAAGGUAACGGCUUACCAAGGCAACGAUGCAUAGCCGACCUGAGAGGGUGAUAGGCCACACUGGAACGGAGACACGGUCCAGACUCCUACGGGAGGCAGCAGUAGGGAAUCUGCCGCAAUGGGCGAAAGCCUGACGGAGCAACGCCGCGUGAGUGAUGAAGGUCUUCGGAUCGUAAAACUCUGUUAUUAGGGAAGAACAUAUGUGUAAGUAACUGUGCACAUCUUGACGGUACCUAAUCAGAAAGCCACGGCUAACUACGUG